GACGAACGCUGGCGGCGUGCUUAACACAUGCAAGUCGAACGGAAAGGCCCUGCUUUUGUGGGUUUCUCGAUUGGCGAACGGGUGAGUAACACGUGAGUAACCUGCCCUUGACUUUCGGAUAACUUCAGGAAACUGGGGCUAAUACCGGGUAGGAGCUCCUGCUGCAUGGGGGUGGUUGGAAAGUUUCGGCGGUUGGGGAUGGACUAGCGGCUUAUCAGCUUGUUGGUGGGGUAGUGGCUGACCAAGGCUUUGACGGGUAGCCGGCCUGAGAGCGUGACCGGCCACAUUGGGACUGAGAGACGGCGCAGACUCGUACGUGCGGCAGCAGUGGGGAAUAUUGCACAAUGGGCGCAAGCCUGAUGCAGCAACGCCGCGUGCGGGAUGACGGCCUUCGGGUUGUAAACCGCUUUGGCCUGUGACGAAGCGUGAGUGACGGUAAUGGGUAAAGAAGCACCGGCUAACUACGUG
rnacentral:rRNA from 1 species